AUGGACGCAAGAACAAGUGCCAAGUUCAUGAAGAGGAUGCACGAGAAAACAAGGCUCACCAUUGAGCCCAAUUUCAACGACACGCCGACAACGGUCUUCCAACCCUGGCAACCAUGUGUGUGUGCAUCUUCGCAAGGAUCGUUUCGUAGAAGAGUGCAAGCCCAGCUACUUCCCCGAGCCGAUGGUCCAUUCAAGGUCAUCCAAAGGAACAACAACAAUGCCUAUAAGGUCGACAUACCCAUGGACAUGUCCUCAAUGAGUAAUACCUUCAACUUCACCAACCUUGCCCCCGUUAAUGGUGAUGUGGACCUUUAUACAAGGACAGAUCUUCCCCAGUGGGAGGGAGGGGAAUGGUGUGGAGCAUCCCUUGGACAUCACCAUGGAUCCCCUGUCAAUCCAAGUAGACCAAUGACAAGAGCACAUGCACAAGCCAUACAAACCGAGGUGACCUCACUCUGCUUCAAGCUCCCUAUCCAUACUAACUCAAUCUAA
rnacentral:rRNA from 1 species